rnacentral:antisense_RNA from 1 species
GAGAGACGCGCAACUCCGCUCCGCACUGUGCGCCAGCAUCCCCGGGGCACCGAGGGCGCUGCGGCCCGCCCGGAGACCCCCCACCCAGGCUGGAUCCGGGCCCUGGGGCCCAGGGAGCGGCUUUAAAGAGUAAGAGCAGCGCACCCGGCUCCCUCCUGCUAAUUAGAUUUCAGAUUCCCCUCUGGCCUCAGUACUCAUUCCGGGGAAGACACCUGCUGAGAUGUCUUUUUCCCCCUCCCCCAACCAAACCACUCAGGUCCUGCCUGCUCUUUCCCGGCUUGAUGCGGGCGUGUUUUCCUGUAUGUAUUUUUUCGCGCGGCCACAAAAAGCAUCAGCUGGGGUUCCCGAAGGUCAGAAAAUGGCUAUUGAUUAAUCUACUAGAAUAGUUGCCGAGAGAAAUAAAAACGACGUAAAAUAACAGGGAACCUACAAAUAAAGAAGCCAUAACUGGCUACUUGGAGUUGUUAAACGACUUAGCAUAUGAAAAAAUCGGAAAUGAGGCGCUGGGGAAGGAGCUGGGAUUGGCAGCGGCCUGGGUGUGGACAAAUCCUCCAAGAUUUAACUUCCAAGAAAACCGGCGGCGGAGCGGGUGGAGGAGGCGAGGAUGUGUGGCCAGUGCACGCGGAGUGCAAGGCCGCCUAGUUGGGAGCCGCAAGAGCCUGCCUGGUGUGGCAGGCACACGGAACCCAAUCCCUGUCUGUCCGCUGCGGCCUGGGAGGGGAGCGCCGGCCUCACCAGAGGAAGGAGCACGAGGGGAGGAGUUCCGAGAGGAAAUAAUUAGUGAAAUAUUUGCAGAAGAUGCUGGGAUGUGGAUUUAAUUCCGGAUGGACAGUGGUGCUUCUGAUUCCCUCAGUCUGUUUCCCCACCCACGAUCUCCUCUUUCCUUGGCCUAGACACACCAAAAAUAAUUCAAUAAAAUAAAAAUAAAAAUUUAAAAAUC